UGGAACGGUUAAAUGAAAAACGAACGGUAAAUAAUAACGAUUGCGUAGUAAUUCAUAUAAAGUUAAUAUAAAGUAUGAAAAAGGCUUCUAUAGUGGCUGGCUGACAGGACACAAGAUGCCUCCAUCUCAAUAUGGAAAACACCAGGACAGAAAAACUCCCAAUCACACUGCAGAGCACACCUCUAUAAAAAAGGUCUGCACCUUGUCACGUGCUGUCUUGACUCCACCUGCUUUGAGUGUGUGUCUCAUGGGUUGGUGCAACACUUUGAAAUAGGAAUCCCCAGGUGAGUUGGGAUAUUCCUAGUUUUACCUCUAGUCUUACAAGAAAUGAAAACACUUACAAGAGGAGGAAAACAGUGAAACAGAAUUCCCUCUGUACUAUUUGUGUGUUUUACCCAUGGUUUUACCCUGUCUUGGUAUUGCUAUUCCAUACCAAAAAGACAGAGGUAGAUAAAAUGAUUUGCACUGUUGCAAAUGUUGAUCAUCUGGUGUCUUGAUAAUUUCUCUGAUGUGUAGCCUAUAGCUUGACAGCCAGCUGCUCUAGAAACACACUCUCUCUAACGCAGGGGGGAUUAUGAAAUGCAGUGGC